rnacentral:rRNA from 1 species
GAUGAACGCUGGCGGCGUGCCUAAUACAUGCAAGUCGAGCGAACGGACGAGAAGCUUGCUUCUCUGAUGUUAGCGGCGGACGGGUGAGUAACACGUGGAUAACCUACCUAUAAGACUGGGAUAACUUCGGGAAACCGGAGCUAAUACCGGAUAAUAUUUUGAACCGCAUGGUUCAAAAGUGAAAGACGGUCUUGCUGUCACUUAUAGAUGGAUCCGCGCUGCAUUAGCUAGUUGGUAAGGUAACGGCUUACCAAGGCAACGAUGCAUAGCCGACCUGAGAGGGUGAUCGGCCACACUGGAACUGAGACACGGUCCAGACUCCUACGGGAGGCAGCAGUAGGGAAUCUUCCGCAAUGGGCGAAAGCCUGACGGAGCAACGCCGCGUGAGUGAUGAAGGUCUUCGGAUCGUAAAACUCUGGUAUUAGGGAAGAACAUAUGUGUAAGUAACUGUGCACAUCUUGACGGUACCUAAUCAGAAAGCCACGGCUAACUACGUG